GUUAGAAUACCUGCCUGUCACGCAGGGGGUCGCGGGUUCGAGCCCCGUCCGUUCCGCCA
rnacentral:tRNA from 2 species